GGGUAACCUGCCUGUAAGACUGGGAUAACUCCGGGAAACCGGGGCUAAUACCGGAUGGUUGUUUGAACCGCAUGGUUCAAAUAUAAAAGGUGGCUUCGGCUACCACUUACAGAUGGACCCGCGGCGCAUUAGCUAGUUGGUGAGGUAACGGCUCACCAAGGCGACGAUGCGUAGCCGACCUGAGAGGGUGAUCGGCCACACUGGGACUGAGACACGGCCCAGACUCCUACGGGAGGCAGCAGUAGGGAAUCUUCCGCAAUGGACGAAAGUCUGACGGAGCAACGCCGCGUGAGUGAUGAAGGUUUUCGGAUCGUAAAGCUCUGUUGUUGGGGAAGAACAAGUGCCGUUCAAAUAGGGCGGCACCUUGACGGUACCUAACCAGAAAGCCACGGCUAACUACGUGC
rnacentral:rRNA from 1 species